UGUGUUAGUGGAAGCGUCUGGAAAGGCGCGCGAUACAGGGUGACAGCCCCGUACACAAAAAUGCACAUGCUGUGAGCUCGAUGAGUAGGGCGGGACACGUGGUAUCCUGUCUGAAUAUGGGGGGACCAUCCUCCAAGGCUAAAUACUCCUGACUGACCGAUAGUGAACCAGUACCGUGAGGGAAAGGCGAAAAGAACCCCGGCGAGGGGAGUGAAAAAGAACCUGAAACCGUGUACGUACAAGCAGUGGGAGCACGCUUAGGCGUGUGACUGCGUACCUUUUGUAUAAUGGGUCAGCGACUUAUAUUCUGUAGCAAGGUUAACCGAAUAGGGGAGCCGAAGGGAAACCGAGUCUUAACUGGGCGUUAAGUUGCAGGGUAUAGACCCGAAACCCGGUGAUCUAGCCAUGGGCAGGUUGAAGGUUGGGUAACACUAACUGGAGGACCGAACCGACUAAUGUUGAAAAAUUAGCGGAUGACUUGUGGCUGGGGGUGAAAGGCCAAUCAAACCGGGAGAUAGCUGGUUCUCCCCGAAAGCUAUUUAGGUAGCGCCUCGUGAAUUCAUCUCCGGGGGUAGAGCACUGUUUCGGCAAGGGGGUCAUCCCGACUUACCAACCCGAUGCAAACUGCGAAUACCGGAGAAUGUUAUCACGGGAGACACACGGCGGGUGCUAACGUCCGUCGUGAAGAGGGAAACAACCCAGACCGCCAGCUAAGGUCCCAAAGUCAUGGUUAAGUGGGAAACGAUGUGGGAAGGCCCAGACAGCCAGGAUGUUGGCUUAGAAGCAGCCAUCAUUUAAAGAAAGCGUAAUAGCUCACUGGUCGAGUCGGCCUGCGCGGAAGAUGUAACGGGGCUAAACCAUGCACCGAAGCUGCGGCAGCGACGCUGAUGCGUUGUUGGGUAGGGGAGCGUUCUGUAAGCCUGCGAAGGUGUGCUGUGAGGCAUGCUGGAGGUAUCAGAAGUGCGAAUGCUGACAUAAGUAACGAUAAAGCGGGUGAAAAGCCCGCUCGCCGGAAGACCAAGGGUUCCUGUCCAACGUUAAUCGGGGCAGGGUGAGUCGACCCCUAAGGCGAGGCCGAAAGGCGUAGUCGAUGGGAAACAGGUUAAUAUUCCUGUACUUGGUGUUACUGCGAAGGGGGGACGGAGAAGGCUAUGUUGGCCGGGCGACGGUUGUCCCGGUUUAAGCGUGUAGGCUGGUUUUCCAGGCAAAUCCGGAAAAUCAAGGCUGAGGCGUGAUGACGAGGCACUACGGUGCUGAAGCAACAAAUGCCCUGCUUCCAGGAAAAGCCUCUAAGCAUCAGGUAACAUCAAAUCGUACCCCAAACCGACACAGGUGGUCAGGUAGAGAAUACCAAGGCGCUUGAGAGAACUCGGGUGAAGGAACUAGGCAAAAUGGUGCCGUAACUUCGGGAGAAGGCACGCUGAUAUGUAGGUGAAGUCCCUCGCGGAUGGAGCUGAAAUCAGUCGAAGAUACCAGCUGGCUGCAACUGUUUAUUAAAAACACAGCACUGUGCAAACACGAAAGUGGACGUAUACGGUGUGACGCCUGCCCGGUGCCGGAAGGUUAAUUGAUGGGGUCAGCGCAAGCGAAGCUCUUGAUCGAAGCCCCGGUAAACGGCGGCCGUAACUAUAACGGUCCUAAGGUAGCGAAAUUCCUUGUCGGGUAAGUUCCGACCUGCACGAAUGGCGUAAUGAUGGCCAGGCUGUCUCCACCCGAGACUCAGUGAAAUUGAACUCGCUGUGAAGAUGCAGUGUACCCGCGGCAAGACGGAAAGACCCCGUGAACCUUUACUAUAGCUUGACACUGAACAUUGAGCCUUGAUGUGUAGGAUAGGUGGGAGGCUUUGAAGUGUGGACGCCAGUCUGCAUGGAGCCGACCUUGAAAUACCACCCUU
rnacentral:rRNA from 1 species